UACGAAGGGGGCUAGCGUUGCUCGGAAUUACUGGGCGUAAAGCGUGCGCAGGCGGUUGUGCAAGACAGAUGUGAAAUCCCCGGGCUUAACCUGGGAAUGGCCAUGGAAACUGGCGAACUGGAGUGUGGCAGAGGGGGGUGGAAUUCCGCGUGUAGCAGUGAAAUGCGUAGAGAUGCGGAGGAACACCGAUGGCGAAGGCAGCCCCCUGGGCUAGCACUGACGCUCAGGCACGAAAGCGUGGGGAGCAAACAGG
rnacentral:rRNA from 1 species